rnacentral:lncRNA from 1 species
GUUAACUAGUGAUGUCACGGUUAAUUUGGAGCAUUGUUGUUCAUAAUUCAAUGAAGUAGUAACUGGAAAUCAAGCUAUUUGCAUACAUGUCAUGUGUGGAGAAAAAGCCUCUAGCUAUCCCAUCCAUCAUCAUAUUUCUCAAAUUUGUUUUACAAUCUGUCUAGUUUUUCAUACUUGUUUGUUUGUUUCAACGUCAUCCAAAUGAAAACCCCCCUUUUAGUUCUUGUUUCAAAGUGUUUCAAAUCUGUUUUAGUUUGUGUUUUUAAGUGUUUUGAUUCAAGUAAAAGUCAAUUUUCGUCCAAAGUCAUUCCUAGUGUCUAAUUUAAGUUUAUUUGGUUGUUUUAAGCUGUUUUGAGUAUUUUAAGUUUGCUUUGAGUCUUGUGAGUCUUGUUAAGUGUUUUUAAGUUUAGUUUUAUGUUUUUUGAGUCAAUUUAGAGGUUAUUAGCAAGCCCUCCUAAUCCCCGGUUCAGAACGAUCCCUACUUAUACUUGUACUACAAUUGUCAAAGAGGGUUAAAUUUGUGUGUUAAGACAAUUUUCGCAUCAUUAGCCUAAGAUCAACAAAGUCCUUAUGAAGGAAGGAUUGUGAAGAGAUCAAGCAUUGGUGGUUUGGUUGAGUCGUAUAUGAAGUAAAAUUGCCAGGGAUCGGAUUGAUUCAUGAAUAAUUGUGGAUUAUCCUUAGGAUAGGAAUGCCUACGUGAUCAGAUAAGGUGAAUACAUCUUGUACCAGGCUAAGUUCAAAUUCCUGGCAAGAAUCAAAGAAGCUAAGACUGGAUGAAGAUGAAGUUGCAUCCUAGAGGGUAUAAAGGAAUAUUUGGGCAAAUGUUGAGCAGAUACAGUCCCAUCAAGACUCUUCCUAUGUAGGCUUGUAAUUAUCACAGAGGUUUCACCUAUAAAUAUAGAAGGUCCUGCAACUUAAAAAGACCUUUAACUCAACAAACAACAUCAAAACGCUUACGCGAAACCCUUCUCAUAACCCUGGUGUUAAUUACACUAAUACUCCCUGAGGUUUAUCGAGUUUUCACAAAAACCCCUCACGUUUGAGACAUUACACUAACACCUUUUGAAGUUUUAAUUUACUUUCACAUAAGUCCCUCAGUCAAAAUUUUGCUAAUAAAUUGACAAGUUUACCCUUACAAAUAAUUAAUUAAACAAUAAAAUAAUCAUUAUAAUUAUAUAUAUAAACAUAUUAAAAAAUUAAAUUACAAACAAGCUCAAAAAUUUCGAAAAUUCAAAGUUCUUCCAGCCCAUCAACAACGACCUUUAACCUUGCAUAAACUAGUUUAUUUUUUUUUUGGAAAAAACCGUACAAAAAUUAGUUAAAGAAAAAAGAACCAGACUUUUUUCAUCACUAAACCUAAUGGGGAAAUUUGGAAAAAUAACCAGAAUUUAGAUCCCAUAUAGAAUUAUAGCCACAAUGUUAAAUUUAUGAUAAUUAUAACCAAAAGUUGAUAUAAAAGUACUAAAAUACCCCUAAUGUCUAAAACCUUCCUCAUUUGCUGCUCUUAACCAUGAAAAAAUCAACCUUCAAGAUAAAAAAAGAUUUGAAAACAAACUAGAAGGGCUACAAAAUUCCUAGUCUCCAGAUCGCUGAUUUGGGUUCAACUUUAAUCCUUUUGGCACCAUUUGUGAAUCCCCAAAUUAUUUUCCAUCUUGAAAUCUGACGAAACAAAUAGAAUUUGUUAAUUUUGAUUUAUUCCAUCAUAAACUUGGAAGAAAGCCGAUAAAAAGACCCACUUCUAACAAUUUUUUUGUUCAGAACGUUAAGUUUUGGAAGACAUAAGUAAAAGAAUGGGGAGUAGAAAAAGAAAAAACAAAAGACCAAAAUCGGCAAUUGGAUUCGUAUAGGACUGAAGAAGAACUAAAAGGGCUUGAAAUGUGAUAGCUUAAAGGAUUUAGGAAUUUUGUGUUCAAAGGCUCUGACUUCGAAUCCAAUUGAAGGGGAAGUGGAAUCCGUUGAAUCCGUCUACAGUGGUUUGCAUAUUUUAAUUUUGCAUUUUGGUAAUUUUAAGGGUAUAUUAGUAUUUUUAUGUCAACUUUUGGUUAUAAUUAUCAUAAAUUUAAAAGGGUGGCUAUAAUUAGAUUUUGCUAGUCCUCAAGCAAAAUGAAACAAACAAAAGAAACAAAACACAAUCUAGACCUUCCAACAUUUGUCUUAGGGAUUUCCAAUGAACAUGACAUGCUAAAAAUCAUUACUUACACAGAUUUUGGCCAUCCUUACCCUCAAGCACAUACUUAAUCAUAGUUACCAUCACUAGCUCGCAUUUAAUCCAUUAAAACAACAUUUUGAACGUAGUAACAUGCCUUAGAGAAUUCCCUCAAUUCCUUACUAGAUAUGUACUCAAUUUUCACUCAGAUUUUCUGACUACACACCCUACACUAGGUAUAUGUGAGAAGAUUGAUGUAAACAUGAAAACUAGUACUCACAUAUGUUAUAACAAAGAAAGCAAUUUUUUUGAAUUAUUAAUGCAUGUAUAUAUAUGAUCUCAUGAACGGAAUGCCACUACUUAGAAGCGAGAACCAGGGAUUCCAUAUGCUCAUAGCAAUUCCAAACUCCACAUAUUGAAACACACAACGCCCAAGAUAGAAGUCUAAGGGUUGUAACGAGGCUAGGGUAUUGGCUAACAAAGAAAGGGUAAGGGUAGACAACGUUCUUAAAACAAUAGUAAGCAAAGUAAUGAAAUUGACACUUAGAAUUCACUUUUUGAAUGCAACAACUAACUUUAAACACAAGGGAAGAUUCACAAAACACUUAGGGCCAGAUUCACACUUUUGGACACUUUCUUCAACAACCAAUACUUGUGAGUUCAUUCUCACUUAUUUUCAACUCUUUUUCUUUCUUUUCAACACACUUUUUUCUUUUCGUUUUCUUUUUCCACGUUUUUUUCACAAAUAUUUUUUUUUCUUUUCUAACCCGUGCCCUAUUUCUUUGGCACAAAAAAAGACAACUUUUGAAAUCCUUCCCCCACACUUGUUUUCUGAAUUAAUGUUGAUCAAAGUGAAUUCUAUCUAAGUUACGCUCCACUAUACCUUAAGAACAAGGGUAUGGAAAGUCCUAUUCUCGGCUAGGUAAGGAUAAUGUGGUUAACAAAGAAAAUAGGCUAAACAAGGCUCAACGGGGUUAAACUUACAAAACAAAUGCAUGGGAUGAAGAAUUUUUGGCUCUGAUGGUAACUACUAAACAACUUCAUCUUGUUGUGUGUUAUGCACUUAAUUUUAAGCUUUGAAUGAAAUGGGCAUGAGUUCUAGUCUUUGGAACUAUAAUGAUGAAAACGCAUUCUAAGUAGUAACCAAGCAAAGAAUAAUGAGAUCAUGCAACAACUUUAGAAAACAAGAAUGCACAGAUUAAUAACUCUCCAAAUAAACGUUUACGCUCAAGUCUCUCAGGGAUGUAGCGUUAGUUUGAGUUCCUUCCUUCAAGCAUGUUACAAAACUGAUUUUUUUUCUUUUUGAUUACAUGUGAAUUCAUAAACGUCAACCAUGACCAAGCAUAAACUAAAGGCAUAUCAAACUUCCAUCCAUGUUUGUAACUCUCUUUAACAGUCAUGCAAUUAAAAACCAAAUCCUCAUCAUUGUGUUGGAAGGUACCCUAAGACAAUACACAAAAACGACUCUUUUUGGUUUGUUUUUCAAAACUUUUCAUUUUUUUUUCCUUCAAAUUUUCGAUUUUUCUUUUCAAAACACACUAAAACAGCUCAAAAUGCACUAAAAACACCUAAAACAGUGAGAAACAACUUUAGAGGGGAUAGGUGAUAAAAACCCACGAAUUUUCAUGCAAAAACAACUUGUUUACCCCCCCCCAUACUUAAACUAAACAUUGUCCUCAAUGUUUCAAACAUAGACUCACACAAAAGUAAACAAACAACAAACUAAGCAUGGCAAAAUAAAUGCUGUAAAGAGAAGGUUUUAGGAACGCAAAUCUAGUUUUGGAGUGAAAAUUCCAUCUUUUCCUUGUUGAAUGCAUGGGUUGCCUCCCAAGAAGCACUUGCUUUAACGUCUUGCAGCCGGACGAUACUUCCAUUCAAGCUCCCCUAGGUCCCAUGGCAUGGAAUUGAUCUUUGAAUGGAAGGUGAUACUUGAAAUGAUCUGGCAUUGGUUCAAAUUCUAGAGUGGGUGCCUGAUUCAUCAAAAUCAACAUGUUAGUAUAAAACGUAAUGGAAAUUGGAGAACAUGACUUACUUGCUUUGUCCGACAAGAACUCAAUGACGAACACCACUUCUUUAAAAGUUUCAGGGAGAUUGGACUUAGCCAGAUUGAAUGUGAUGGUUAGAACUUGUGUCGUGUCAUAAAAUUCAACUUCUUUGGGCUUUGUUGUCUCAUGUACAACCUCUUUGAUAAAUUCUUGAUAUCUCCCAUCCACUUCUUUCUUUUGAAUUAUUCUUCUUGGUGUACAAAGUUCUUUGAACAAUUCAACGCAUUCUGAAACUGACACACCCUAACCGAGAUCAAGGCAUGCUGGCCAUCACGUGAGAGUGACGUAGCCAUGUGCAUAGUGCAGAAGCAAUAGAGAUAAGAAAUAUACGAAUAAUUAAAAACCGAAUUACUAGAGUGCACUACUAAACAGGAAGUGAUAGGAGUUAGUUACAACAGUAAAUGAUCGGAUCAUAUUUAUAUAUAUUUUUACUUCAAAUUCACUCGUCUUUUCUUGGUUAGUUCCUUAUAUUUUUGAGCUAUUUACGUUAUUUUUGUGUUUAUAGGAUCUGUUAUGCAAAGAAAAUAAAAAUAGCACAAAUGAGUUUAAAUAAUAAACAGGAAAGUGGAACACGGGUGGACCACUAGAAAAAUAAUGGAGCAAAUAAAAGAAUUAAAGAUGGAGCAAGUGGAUCGCUAAUUGUGAAUUGAAAUGGCUGCCUUUUAAGUAGGCAGAGAGACACGGGCUGGAGAAAGCAGAAAAGAAAAGGAACAAAAUGAGCACAAGGCAGCAGAAAGAGAAGAGUGGGAGAGCACGGACGAAAAAUAUAAUUGAAAGGAAGGAAGUGGAUGGUGCACUGGCGGGGAGAGACUGACAGCGCAGUUUGAGUGGGGAAAGAAAGAAAAAUAAGAAAGGAGGAUAGAGGGAAGUUAGGUGGGAUAGAAAAGAAAUAAAAUAGGGAUAGAAAGGACGGAAAGGGGGGAAGAACGCUGCCCUUUGGCAGCGAGGUCAGAGGGGAGAAGUGGAAGACACGGGGAGAGCAGUAUGGUGGGGUGAGUACGGGACAACCAAGAAAAGGAGAGGAGACUGAUACGAGCAGAAGACUGGCGCAGGAGGGAGGUGUCACGGACAGCAGAAAGAGGGAGAGGUCAGCACGUACUGACAGCAGAAAGAAAAGAACGCGGAAGUGGAAAGAAGGAAGGAAUAGGCUGCCUUUGGGCAGCGUGAGCGCCAGCGUGAGACCAGAGGGUGGAUAGGGAGAAGCAGCAAAGCUGCAGUGCCAGAAGGCUUCAAUCUUCUCUCUUGGUUAAAUCUUUCCAAACUUCUAUUUUAUUUCUGUUUUAAUAAUGUGUAACUAAAUUUAUUUUGGCUAGAGGUUAAUUCAAAACCAUGAAUAUAUUUGUAAUAUGAAUUGAUUACCUUCAGUUGUGAUUUCUGAGUUGUGAUUUAAUUUGCUUAA